rnacentral:tRNA from 1 species
GUCAUUAUGAAUAGUCUAGUGGAUAUGGCAUCUGUCCGGUAAGCGGAACACUGUGGGUUCGAUUCCCAUCCCUGGACA